AGAGACGUACGAUGGUUUUACAGGGUUUGUACAACCGAUUUGGGCAAGCAUUAAUUGCUCCUUGCCCAUUUCCACCGUAUCUCAAUCCCAAACAAGUUUUGAGGGUGAAGAGUCCAAAGAUCUCCAACUCCAUUCUCGACCUAAUGCUGCGCAAAAGAAAGUCUCCUCAUUCAAAGCCUGUUGG